rnacentral:tRNA from 1 species
UGGGCUUUAUUUAGGAUUGAGCUUCUAACUCAAUUGGGCGAGAUAAAUUUUCUUGCGGGCUCUA